GUGGGGCGUGGUGGUGCACGCCUGUAAUCCCAGUGUGUAGGAGGCUGAGGCAGGAGAAUCACAAGUUCAAAGCCAGCCUUAGCAACUUAGGAAGGCCCUAAACAACUCAGCAAGACCCUGUCUCAA
rnacentral:sRNA from 1 species